UACGGAGGGUGCAAGCGUUGUCCGGAUUUAUUGGGUUUAAAGGGUGCGUAGGCGGCUAAUUAAGUCAGGGGUGAAAUCCUGGAGCUCAACUCCAGAACUGCCUUUGAUACUGGGAGUCUUGAGUUCGGGAGAGGGAAGCGGAAUUCCGGGUGUAGCGGUGAAAUGCGUAGAUAUCCGGAGGAACACCGGUGGCGAAGGCGGCUUCCUGGACCGACACUGACGCUGAGGCGCGAAAGCUAGGGGAGCAAACGGG
rnacentral:rRNA from 1 species